CCUACGGGAGGCAGCAGUGGGGAAUAUUGCACAAUGGGGGAAACCCUGAUGCAGCGACGCCGCGUGAGUGAAGAAGUAUUUCGGUAUGUAAAGCUCUAUCAGCAGGGAAGAAAAUGACGGUACCUGACUAAGAAGCCCCGGCUAAAUACGUGCCAGCAGACGCGGUAAUACGUCGGGGGCAAGCGUUAUCCGGAUUGACUGGGGGGAAGGGGAGCGUAGACGGCCAGACAAGUCAGAAGUGAAAGCGCAGGGCUUAACCCUGGGACUGCUUUUGAAACUGGCGUGCUGGAGUGCAGGAGAGGUAAGCGGAAUUCCUAGUGUAGCGGUGAAAUGCGUAGAUAUUAGGAGGAACACCAGUGGCGAAGGCGGCUUACUGGACUGUAACUGACGUUGAGGCUCGAAAGCGUGGGGAGCAAACAGGAUUAGAUACCCCUGUAGUC
rnacentral:rRNA from 1 species